rnacentral:rRNA from 1 species
GAUGAACGCUGGCGGCGUGCCUAAUACAUGCAAGUCGAGCGAACGGACGAGAAGCUUGCUUCUCUGAUGUUAGCGGCGGACGGGUGAGUAACACGUGGAUAACCUACCUAUAAGUCUGGGAUAACUUCGGGAAACCGGAGCUAAUACCGGAUGAUAUUUUGAACCGCAUGGUUCAAAAGUGAAAUACGGUCUUGCUGUCACUUAUAGAUGGAUCCGCGCUGCAUUAGCUAGUUGGUAAGUUAACGGCUUACCAAGGCAACGAUGCAUAGCCGACCUGAGAGGGUGAUCGGCCACACUGGAACUGAGACACGGUCCAGACUCCUACGGGAGGCAGCAGUAGGGAAUCUUCCGCAAUGGGCGAAAGCCUGACGGAGCAACGCCGCGUGAGUGAUGAAGGUCUUCGGAUCGUAAAACUCUGUUAUUAGGGAAGAACAUAUGUGUAAGUAACUGUGCACAUCUUGACGGUACCUAAUCAGAAAGCCACGGCUAACUACGUG